AGAUUAUUAGACAAUAUUUAGUGAUUAAUUAAAAAUUAAUUAGCUUAAUUAGGUUUGGUGGGCCCCACCCGAAUUAAUAAAAAAAAAUGAAUGAAAUGAAAUCAUCAAAUACAUGCCACAGAGAAGGGCACGUGUAGGUCAUAGGGGGGCACACAUAUAAGUCACUAAGAUGACUCAUAGGCAUCGCAUUCAACAUUGCAAGACAUUCGGCCAUGGUGAUUCACUAAAACAAAAAAAAAAAAUGAAUGAGAAAUGAGCAAAGUUUGAGAAGCAUUCGGCCAUGGUGAUUCACUAAAACAAAAAAAAUGAAUGAGAAAUGAGCAAAGUUUGAGAAGCAUUCGGCCAUGGUGAUUCAGCGGAGAAGUAGCAUGAAAAAGAGAGAGAUUAGAGUGAUAAUUUGCUGGAAACAUUCAAGUGAUGAGUAAAGCUAAGAAGCCAAGUUUAUUAAGAUAGGCGAAAAGAGCGACGAAGCGAAAAGGAUUCACGAUUAGUCGCUGACAGGUACAGAUGCUCACGUUGGUAACCCGCCAGCUUAGGAGUCCUGUUCAGCUAUCUUGGAGAGCUCCCUUUUUCCGGAGCCUAGAUUUUGGUACAGAAUCUCUUGUAGUGUAUAUGUAUUUUAUCCAGGGGUACGGCGGGGCCCUGUUCCGUCAUAUGAUACUGUUGUUACUCUUAGAGGUCUGUAGACAUAUGUGUGGGUUGUGUAUCGAUGUUGUUCAGUUGUGUCUAUAUGGCUUAUGUUUUGGGACGUUCCCAUUCAUAGUGGCAGCCUUGUCGGCUUGCGUAGAUAUAUAUAUAUAUAUAUAUAUAUAUAUAUAUAUAUGUUUUGAGAAGUAAUGUGUUAUGAUAGCCUUGUCGGCUCGUGU